rnacentral:rRNA from 1 species
UGGCGAACGGGUGAGUAGCACGUGGGUGAUCUGCCCUGCACUUCGGGAUAAGCCUGGGAAACUGGGUCUAAUACCGGAUAGGAGCCAUUUUUAGUGUGAUGGUUGGAAAGUUUUUUCGGUGUAGGAUGAGCUCGCGGCCUAUCAGCUUGUUGGUGGGGUAAUGGCCUACCAAGGCGGCGACGGGUAGCCGGCCUGAGAGGGUGGACGGCCACAUUGGGACUGAGAUACGGCCCAG